UACGGGGGGGGCAAGCGUUGUUCGGAAUUACUGGGCGUAAAGCGCACGUAGGCGGAUCGAUCAGUCAGGGGUGAAAUCCCAGAGCUCAACUCUGGAACUGCCUUUGAUACUGUCGGUCUAGAGUAUGGAAGAGGUGAGUGGAAUUCCGAGUGUAGAGGUGAAAUUCGUAGAUAUUCGGAGGAACACCAGUGGCGAAGGCGGCUCACUGGUCCAUUACUGACGCUGAGGUGCGAAAGCGUGGGGAGCAAACAGG
rnacentral:rRNA from 1 species